GGGGAAUAGAGUUCUACUCCCAACCCAUGUGAACUUACCUUUUGUUGCCUCGGCAGAAGUUAUAGGUCUUCUUAUAGCUGCUGCCGGUGGACCAUUAAACUCUUGUUAUUUUAUGUAAUCUGAGCGUCUUAUUUUAAUAAGUCAAAACUUUCAACAACGGAUCUCUUGGUUCUGGCAUCGAUGAAGAACGCAGCGAAAUGCGAUAAGUAAUGUGAAUUGCAGAAUUCAGUGAAUCAUCGAAUCUUUGAACGCACAUUGCGCCCAUUAGUAUUCUAGUGGGCAUGCCUGUUCGAGCGUCAUUUCAACCCUUAAGCCUAGCUUAGUGUUGGGAAUCUACUUCUCUUAGGAGUUGUAGUUCCUGAAAUACAACGGCGGAUUUGUAGUAUCCUCUGAGCGUAGUAAUUUUUUUCUCGCUUUUGUUAGGUGCUAUAACUCCCAGCCGCUAAACCCCCAAUUUUUUGUGGUUGACCUCGGAUCAGGUAGGAAUACCC
rnacentral:rRNA from 1 species